rnacentral:lncRNA from 10 species
CCGGUACCAAUCCCUGGUCUGUUAGGAACCAGGCCGUACAGCAGGAUGUGAGCAGCUAGCAAGUGAGCAUUACUGCCUGAGCUCUGCCUCCUGUGAGAUCAGCCAUGCCAUUAGAUUCUCCUAGGAGUGAACCCUAUUGUGAACUGCGCAUGCCAGGAAUCUAGGUUGCACACUCCUUAUGAGAAUCUAAUGAUAAAUGUAAUGUGCUUAAGUCAUCCCAAAACCAUCCACCUCCCUCGGUCCCUGGAAAAAAUUGUCUUCCAUGAAAUCAGUCCUUGGCAUCCAAAAGGUUGGGAAUUGCUGAUCUAAGUAGUGCCCAAAAGAAUUGCUGCUUCUAAAUUUCUUCCAACCUGCAGCAGAUGAGAUCUGUGGAACAUCAGACAUCUCAAUGAGAAGUGAAAAUAUCAUCAAUCAUAGCUUCAGCUCUCAAAGGUUGUUAACGUUAGAAGAUACUGGAUGAAGAGGCACCAGAACUCCUUGUACAUUUCUUUGCAACUUCCUUUGCAACUUCCUUUGAAUCUAUAAUUAUCACAAAAUAAAAAGUUAAAAAUAAUAGUAAGUGCUGUUUACUUUUGGAGACCAAGGCAGGGGGUUCAUUUGAAGCCAGGAGUUUGAGACCAGCCUGGACAACAUAGUGAGACCUCAUCUCUACAAAAAAACUUGUAAUUAGCCAGGUGUAGUGUGGCAUGGCUGUAGUCCCAGCUACUUGGGAGGCUGAGGUGGGAGGAUCACUGGAGCCCAGGAGCCCGAGGCUGCGAUGAGCUGUGAUCACACCACUGCACUCCAGCCCAGGUACAGAGCAAGACCCUGUCUCUAAAACAUAUAAAAAUAAAUACAUAGUAAGUGCUGUUUAAAAUAUUUACUUCAAAAAAUACAUAUCCUUUUGCACUUAUGUUCAUUAUUUUUAUCCAUAAUUUUCCAGAAAAAAAGUUUGUGUGUAAGAUAAAAACAGGAAAUAAAAGCACACUAAAAAGGAAGAUAUUUUGAAAUUAUCUGAAUGAUUUUGAAAUUAUCUGGUGAUAAGUGUACCCUUGCUACACUUAUCAAUCAAUCACUCAAUCUAGAAUAAUUGAUCUGGGCCAUGAGCAAUUUUUAAAAACAUAAAAAUAAAAAACUCUUCAAGAUAUUUCAUGGCUCCUUCUCCCCCCUGGCUGGAUUUUAAGGACAGGACAAACUGCUGUUGAGAGAAGUACGAUUUGAAUUUAAAGAAACAUGGACCAGUGUCUUCGGAGCAAACAGGAGAAAAGUAAGAAAGACCUCAACUCAGCCAUCUGAAAUGAACUGUUUAUGAGGACAACAACCAGCUCUUCGGGCCUACUUUAUAUAAAACCCAGAUCAGAUUCUAUUGGGAGGAAAAGAAAAGGUGGGAGGAGGAAGAAGCUGAGAACAUCUCCAGGAGUCAGAGCUCAGAAAACAGGAGAAAUCUACAAAUCAGGAAAACACAAAGAAUAAUUAUGAGGAAAGCUGUGUCAAGCACCCAGGUACAAGUCAUAACAACUGUUACUAUCUUACCCGGUGCAAUAUUUUUCUUCCAGUCCGAGACAGAAAUAAACAUAAACUAUUCUAGAAACCUGGAUUAUAUUACCAUGUAAUUGUUUGCAUAGAAUUAAAUGGCUUGGGAAACAGGAG